GUUUUGUUUGGGUUUUUUUC
rnacentral:miRNA from 1 species